CGCAGCGAAAUGCGAUACGUAGUGUGAAUUGCAGAAUUCCGCGAAUCAUCGAGUCUUUGAACGCAAGUUGCGCCCGAGGCUUGUCCAAGGGCAUUUCCGCUAGAGCGUCACC
rnacentral:rRNA from 1 species